rnacentral:lncRNA from 1 species
GGGAGGAGGCAGGAGGCGCAGGGAAGGAGGGAGGAGGCAGGAGGGGCAAGGAGCGCCACCCGCCCUCCUCCGGUGUCUGGGCCCUGCCGAGGGCCGGGGUCCGGGGCGGGUCCCGGGAGGGGACGGAUAGGGGACCCGAGCGGCCGCCGCAAAGGCUGGGAGGGAGGUCUAGGUGGGACACGCUGGCCGCAGAGGAGGCGCAGGCGCCGCCGGGUCCCUGGACACAGACCCUGCCGCGAGCCUUGGGACCGGGCCAGGACCCGGAAAGCGGGGCGGACGGGAAGCCCGGCCCAGCCCCGGACCCGGGGUCAGCCUGGCCGGAACCAGCCCCAUGGCCUCUGCCUACGCUCGCUCCCCCCACCCCCCGCACACACCUGUAACGCCAGACACACACCUGUUAACCGAAAGGUCCUUUGGGAAAACGUCGUCCACAGGUGUGCAGAAAAUAAGGAGAAGAGGGGACACAUACUCCUUUGCGAGAAACCGCUGCCUGCCCUUCAUCCAGCCCAACCAUUUGAAGGGAGUGGAUGUUCCUCUAAGGUUGGGCUGGGGCCACGGCAAAACCACUGCAGACAAAUGAGAACCACCCGAGUAAGGACACGCUGUGACCCUUCAGUCACCGCUCCCUCACUGGCUGCAGUCACCUGCUCGACGUUUGAGAUGUGGUCAAGUCCUCACUGCCUCCGUCCAUCUUCCUUCCGUGUGUGUGUUAGUCGCUCAGUCGUGUCUGACUCUUUGCGAUCCCAGGGACUGUGUCCAUAGGAUUUUCCAAGCAAGAAUACUGGAGUGAGUAGCCAUGGAUGGAACCCAGGGAUGGAACCCACUUCUACAUUGCAGGCAGAUUUUUUUUUACCAUCUGAGCCACCAGGGAAGCCCCUUCUCUCAUUAGCUUUGCGCUAAUGGUUGAAUAUGCGGACAAUCUACUGCAUGAAUGCCAGGAAAGACAGCCCACUUGCCCUCCAUUAGAAGGGAAUGAAUACAUAUACAGAAGAUAGAUAAAUAAGGUCCUGCUGUAAAGCACAGAGAACUGUAUUCGGUAUUCUGCGAUAAACCGCAACGGAAAAGAGGAUUUAAAAAAGGAUGUAUGUGUAUGUAUAGUAGAAUCACUUUGCUGUACAGCAGGAAUUAACACACCAUUGUAAAUCACCCAUACUUGAGUUUUAAACUAUUGAUUAAAACAAGAAGUGAGCAAUGUCAAAGGUGAUGAAAGAUGCACAGAGAGGCAAAAUCAAGCAGCAGAAUGAGGGAGCUGUGGAAAUGAUUUGGUUUUGAGCAUUGCUGAUUUCAAAGCAAAGUAACUUACUUCAAGUUUUUCAUAACACUGAAUCAUAAAAUGUAGACACUAUUUGAAAAUGUUUCAUUUUUAGCUCCUAGAAUGUGUAUUUAUCUGACAAAUAAAUGUAAACCUUAAUAAGACA